rnacentral:tRNA from 1 species
GGGUCCAUGGUCUAGUUGGUUAUGACGUUUCGUCGACACCGAAAAGGUCGGGAGUUCGAUCCUCUCUGGACCCA